AGCGAGGUGGAGCAGUUUGGAGUGCUCGCUGGGCUCAUAACCCAGAGGUCGUAAGUUCGAGUCUUACCUUCGCUA
rnacentral:tRNA from 1 species